UCACGUGGCAAUGCCCAACCACAGUGGAGCCAGAAGAUACACUCCUCCCAAAGGGGGCACAAUGAACCCACAGCAACAGGAAGAGAUGUACAGUCCUCUUAUAGGCAAGCUGCAAAUAACUGGGAACAAUAAGAUCAUCUACCACAAGAAAUCUUUAAUAAUUUCCAAAAAAUUCUUUUCAUUUGAGUCUGUUUAAUUAAUGUGAGAUCAAUUACAGUUUAUCUUACAAUAACCAUAUUUUAGAUUUUAUCUUCCUUCAAGAUUCUAAUGUUGUCCCAAACCUCAGCUUACAUCUGAUGGUAGGCUGUUCUCAAGAUGGACAGCUGCAUAUAUUUUAUUCUAGUUUCUAUUUCCAAAAGAUACAUUUUCUCAUGUUGUCCCCAAAUUCUUGGACCUAAGGCCCCUCAACUCUAACUGACAUUAGUUUAGGAAAGAGAAGGUGAGGAGAAAGGGACUAAAGGUCAGUGUCCUACUCUCUGCCUGGUUGCUGAGUGAGUGAAUGAGCAAAUUAAUGGGCUAUGGCAACUACUGACUGUGUCCCUGGAGGGCCCGAUGAUCAGAAGUGUCAGGCUUUGACUUCAGCAGGAAGAAAUGGUGGUCAGUGUUUGAACAAACUUCCUGGUUUGAAGGAGUUUGGGGGCUGUGGCAGACAGACUCUUAAGGAGGCCUACAUGAUUUUGCCUCCUGGUGUUCACAUCCUUGUGUGAUCCCCACCCCUUGAAUGUGGGUCCUGUGACUUGCUUCUAACCAGUAGAACCUGACAAAUGUGACAGUGAUUGUGUGUACGUGAUGACAUGAUUAUAUCACACGAGAUUGUAACACUUGCCUUGCUGGCAUCUCUCACUCUCUUGCUGGCUUUGAAGAAGCAAGCUGCCAUGUUGUGGCUGCCUUUGUUGGAAGGUGAUGUGGCAAGGAACUGAGGACGGCCUCUAGGAGCUGAGGAUGGACUCCAGCUGACAGCCAGCAAGACACAGAAGCCUUCCAUCCUAAAGCUGUAAGGAACGGAAUCCUGCUAACAAAAGUGAUCCUUCCCCAGACGAGCCUCAGAUGAGGUGGAGCCCCGACCGACACCUUGAUUGCAGCCUUGUGAGACCCUACGCAGAGGACCCAGUCUGUGCCCAGACUCCUGACCCACAGAAACUGAGGUAGAAUCCAGGUGAGGUCCUCUGCUCAGGGAUUCGCAAGGCUGAAGUCAAGGUGUUGGCCAGUCUGCGUUCUCAUCUGGACGCUCGGGGGAAGAAUGUGCUUCCAACUUCAUUCAGGUGCUGGCAGAAUUCAGCUCCCAGCAGCUGUGUGAUUCAGGUCCCCGUUUUCUUGCUGGCUGUUGGAUGGGACUGCUUUUGGCUCCUAGAGGGUGCUCCCAGCUCCUCACCAUGUGGCCACCUCCACUGGCCGUUCGCAACAUGGCAGUUCACUCUUUAAGGCCAGCAAGAGAAUCUCUUUCCCUGUCAGCUGAAAUGAAGUCUUAUAUAACCUAAUCAUGACAUUAACAAACCCCCACCUUUGUCUUAUUAUGUAACCUCAUCACAGGAAUGGCACUCUAUCAUAUUCACAGGUCCUGUCCACUCUCAAGAGGAAGGAAUUACAUAGGAUGUGUAUACCAGCGGGCAGAACUCUGGGGGGCCAUCUUAGAAUUCUGCCUACCACGGGGCUGUGGGAUUAAAUAAGAUACUGUGUGUAAAACGCUUAGCUCAGUGCCUGGCCCAGAGAAAGACGCAAUAAGUGGUAGUCAUAGUCACCACCAUCAAUACGCAUAGUAGACAAAAUAAUGGCCCCCCAAAGAUGUCCUUGGAAUCUGUCAAUAUGUUAUGCUACGUGGCAAAGAAAAUGAAGGCUGCAGACGGAAUCAAGCUGGCUAAUCAGCUGACCUUAAAAUCGGGAAAUCAUCCUGGAUUUGCUCCUUAUGGAACCACAAGGGUCCUUCAAAGUGGAAGAGUGAGGCAGAAGAAGAGUCAGAACCAGAGAGAUGGCAGCAUGAAAAGACUUGGCCCAACGUUGCUGGCUUUCAAAAUGGAAGAAGAGGACCACGAGCCAAGGAAUGUGGGCGGCAAGGAAUGUGGCCAAGCUGGAAGGGGAGAGGAAUAGAUUUUCCCCUGGAGCCUCCAGGAAAGAAUGCAAGCCUGCUGUCACCUUGACUGUAGCCCGGCGAGACCUGUUUCAGACUUUGGACGUCCAGAACUGUAAGAUAAUAAAUGUGUGUUGUUUUAAGCCACUGCAUUUGUAGUAAUUUGUUCCAGCAUCCAUAGGAAACUAAUACAAUGUUAUGUGUUUUAUCAGGGCUACAGAAAAAGAUUAAAAUGACAGAGUUCAGGGUGCAUAUUGAUUCAUUGGCCAUUUAUAAAAGCCGGUUGAGAAACUGUGAAGUGGAGAAUCUGAAAUGGAGUAGGUGACAGUCUUCCUAUGGCCACUUUGCUCGGUCUGGGUGUAUGUGGUGUGAGGCCUAUGGAGGACGAAGACAGAGCAGAGCACUUCCAAAGGAGACUGACAUGAACGGAGGAGAAACUAGAGCUGAAAAGACAGUGGUGAUGUGCGGAUUGGAUGGGGUUGUUGGGAAAUAGUUGAUGAACUGUCUUUGGAAGAGAACUUAGAAAAGUUGUGCACAGUCCCGAGGGGAGAUGUACUGGGCGGAAGCUACCGGAACUCAGCGCUCAGCUCAGUAUGAGUAAUUGCUUUCUGGAAGUGAUGAUUGUAUCAGUUAGGAACAACAGAUCAGAACUAACAGUGGCUUAAGCAAGAGAGAAGUGUCUUUUCUGUCAUGGUAAAUGCCUUCUGGAGGUGAGAAGUCCAGGACUGGUUUGAAGGUACCAUGAUGUUAGGGAUCCAGGCUCCUUGAUGCGCCUUCUCCCCUAGGUUGAUGCCCUCACCCACACGGUCCAAGGCUGAGAAACAUCACAUCCAUAUUCCCAGAAGCAGGAAGGCGGAAGGGCACGGCCUUUAAGUUCACAUCCCAGAAGUUGCGUCCAUCACUUUUGCUCUCAUCUCAAUGACAAGAACAUGGGCAUAUGGCCUCCUGGCUGCAUAGGAAACUCAUUGUGGGUGGCCACGCAACUUGGCAAAAAGUUGGAGGUUUCUAUCACCAUGGAAAAGGAGGGAAAAAUUGAUUUGGGGGUUGGGGGGGGCAAGACCAACAAGCUCUGCAUAGUGAUGGCUGGGUUAUUUUGGAGGUAGGAUUUUGCUCUCUGUGCUGGACCCUCCCUGUUUUGACACUCCAAUAGCACCCUGAUUCCCCUUUUCAGAAAGAACCUCUCUCCCGUGGAAGUCUGAAGGGACUGUCAGUGGAGGUGCUGCUCUCCCAUAGCCAAGAGCUCCAGCAUUCAUUCUAACUCCAGCCUCAGGGAGAGACUGAUUCCUCUUACUCCUCGAACUGCCUAGUACCUGCCAUUUUUCAGACCAGUUCUCAAACCUUUCCUUGUCUGUCCAAACAUUUCCCUUCUGCUUUGAUCAAUUAGAGGGGAUUUCUUUUGCUUGCAACCUAUCACUCCUUACAGAUACACUCUCCCCGGAGUCUUGCAGCAGAAGCUUGCAACAUCUUGGCAGAACUGGAAGCAAUCCUGUUGUAGGGCAGUGCAUGUUUUACUAUUGCACUGGACAGUCAGAAAGCAAAACACCCACCAAAUGAAAUGAUUUUGCAAAGAUUUACAUUGCCAUCACUAAGUCACUCAGAG
rnacentral:lncRNA from 1 species